rnacentral:rRNA from 1 species
CCUACGGGAGGCAGCAGUGAGGAAUAUUGGUCAAUGGACGAGAGUCUGAACCAGCCAAGUAGCGUGAAGGAUGACUGCCCUAUGGGUUGUAAACUUCUUUUAUAAAGGAAUAAAACGAGGCACGUGUGCCUUUUUGCAUGUACUUUAUGAAUAAGGAUCGGCUAACUCCGUGCCAGCAGCCGCGGUAAUACGGAGGAUCCGAGCGUUAUCCGGAUUUAUUGGGUUGAAAGGGAGCGUAGAUGGGUUGUUAAGUCAGUUGUGAAAGUUUGCGGCUCAACCGUAAAAUUGCAAGUGAUACUGGCAGUCGUGAGUACAGUUGAGGUAGGCGGAAUUCGUGGUGUAGCGGUGAAAUGCUUAGAUAUCACGAAGAACCCCGAUUGCGAAGGCAGCUUACUAAACUGUGACUGACAUUGAUGCUCGAAAGUGUGGGUAUCAAACAGGAUUAGAUACCCGAGUAGUC